rnacentral:rRNA from 1 species
GACGAACGCUGGCGGCGUGCCUAAUACAUGCAAGUCGAACGAACGGAGGAAGAGCUUGCUCUUCCAAAGUUAGUGGCGGACGGGUGAGUAACACGUGGGCAACCUGCCUGUAAGUUGGGGAUAACUCCGGGAAACCGGGGCUAAUACCGAAUGAUAAGGAGUGACGCAUGUCACUGCUUUGAAAGAUGGUUUCGGCUAUCGCUUACAGAUGGGCCCGCGGUGCAUUAGCUAGUUGGUAGGGUAAAGGCCUACCAAGGCAACGAUGCAUAGCCGACCUGAGAGGGUGAUCGGCCACACUGGGACUGAGACACGGCCCAGACUCCUACGGGAGGCAGCAGUAGGGAAUCUUCCGCAAUGGACGAAAGUCUGACGGAGCAACGCCGCGUGUAUGAAGAAGGUUUUCGGAUCGUAAAGUACUGUUGUUAGAGAAGAACAAGGAUAAGAGUAACUGCUUGUCCCUUGACGGUAUCUAACC